UACAGAGGGGGCGAGCGUUGUUCGGAAUUACUGGGCGUAAAGGGCGCGUAGGCGGCCUUCUAAGUCAGACGUGAAAUCCCUCGGCUUAACCGGGGAACUGCAUCUGAUACUGGAUGGCUUGAAUUCGGGAGAGGGAUGCAGAAUUCCAGGUGUAGCGGUGAAAUGCGUAGAUAUCUGGAGGAAUACCGGUGGCGAAGGCGGCAUCCUGGACCGACAUUGACGCUGAGGAGCGAAAGCUAGGGGAGCAAACAGG
rnacentral:rRNA from 1 species